rnacentral:lncRNA from 1 species
GCAGGAGGCAGGGACAGACAGGAUGUCUUGCUAAGAGUCACCACUUUAUGUCACACCAUUUCAAAGAUUAGAAAACACCACUGUCAUCAGAAGCCCCAGCAUCCCAUAAGAGGGACAGCCACAAGAAUGCCCUAUGCAAGUUACUUUGCCUAACGCACCUUGUAUUUUGAUGGUUGAAGGCCUGCUGAAAUCUCCCUGCUGAAUGCUAGUGACCUUGACCUCUCUUGUAAUGAGGAAAGGAGCCUGAAGUUCAAUGUUUAUCGACCACAGAAACAAAAUGAGGCUGGAAUGAAGCGGGGGCCACCUGGGGAUACCCCAGGAGAAGGAAGCAAUGACCACCAGCCCAAGCAUAAGCUACCAAAUAGGUGCACAGCAGGGCAGUGUGGCCCACUUAGGAGUCCAUAAUCCCCUCAAACCUGAGGGCUAAGCUGUGACAGAUUCUGAGUGUACUAUAAAAUGCCUACCAUGAAGAACCACUGGCUGAGAGGUCACCAUUAUUUCUAGAAUGGCCUACUAGGAAGCAAAAUCUAACAAGUAGACCCAGGAAGGGCACGGGCAAGGUGGUCUGGUCUAUGGUGGGCCGCAGGAACAGGCAAAGAUGGUGCGACUAGCUUACAGCUACUGCAAAAACCCUGAGGAACUUGUAACCAGGCCUUUCCGAUCACCCACCAGGUGCCCAGCCGCCUGCAGCUCCAAAUACCUGAGCCAUGGUCGUGGGCCCUGCAGGCUUCCUGUGCGACUGCCACGAAUCCAGCCUGCAUGUUUGGGGAUGAUGCCUUCCAGAGCGAAAGUAGAGUCUUACAAUGGUGGGAAACACUGUGUUUCAGUUCAGUAACACGAAACGGAACUUAGACUACCCUGUCGCCCCAGAAAGACCAGCAUCUGUUUACUUAACUCACACACAGAACUUGCCACGCACAGAACUCGAGUCAGAUAUCUCUGCAGCUUGUCCGGGAUGCUCACCCAGAGGAAAAUGACAGAUACUUUCCCUUUCCAUGACUGCCUUGUCUAGGUGAUUCUGAUACUGAGGUUCUAUCACCUGCCACUCGCCAGAAUCUAAUGGGUGCUCCGGAAUGAAAUGUCUCCUAGUGAGUUCCUUGUCACAAGAAGCCAGUCAGCACGCACCUGCAAUGGUCCCCAAGGAACAGUACCAGAAACUGACCACAAAUGGCAUGUCCAAGUGCCGAGCCAAGGGCGCAAGCUCAGCUGCUGCUUUUGUUAAGAUGGGUUGCAUGUCCUAUUUACCUGGUGGCCUGCCUCACCUGGGUGGUCCUUGGGCAUUGGGCUUGUGGGUCCAGUGAUCUCUAGGCGUGAGAAUAUAUUAGUUCCUCUAUGAGUGAGGCCCCGAGAGAUAAAUUUCCACUUCCCAGAGUAGCACCCAGGUCCCUGGAGACCCCUCAUCUGCCUUUUGGAAGAAACAUGAGCCUACUUCACAAUCAGCAGACAUCUCCAGGGGAGGAACACCCAUCUCCUCCUGCAGCCUUGCUCAGAGAUCCCAUUACAGGCCCUCACAUAUGAACCUGUGUUGCCUUAGCCUCUUCCACAUGCGGCCAGGACACCCUGGCUCAGCUGCAGAUGAAAUCUCAGGAGACUUGGCCAGAGAGGAAUCUUAAGGGAGCUAGGGUUGGGGGUGGGGAGGUGGGGGAUGGGGUUGCUGGUAACAAGCUGCCAGAACCCGGCAAGCUUCCUGUUCAAGGCCUGGGAUUCUGCAGCAUGCCUGGGCAUGAACGCCUGGGCACGAGGACGUCAAGCCUGGUCCUGUGGACUCACUUUGUCUUCUCUGCUGCUGUGACCACGUGAGGUCGAGCUGUGGAUAUCCAGGCUGUAUUUCUUCAGGGGUGAUUGCUACCCAUAGCCUUUAAAAACCAAGGCCUGGCUGUCAAGGUCAUGGGUUGGGUGGAUGGGACCUGCUGGAAAGAUCCUAGAGAGUAUGUCCCUCUAUGCUGUGGUCAUGAUGGGAAGGAAAAGGCACUGGGGCUGCAGUUCCUAGGCGCCCCCUGGGAUCUCUCACUGGAGUCAUGGCUCCCAUCCCCAUGUGAAUUACAUUCAGUGCUAUGGUAAUUAGACUGGCUACAGAGUAGACUUCCCAGCUAUGAACCUAGGGACCAGCCUAAAGGUAGAGAGUAGUAAGCCUGGCUCUAGCCAAACAACCAGCCACUUUUCCAUAACUGGUUUUCAAUAUACAUUAAAAAUAAACAAACAACCAAAAAAACAAACAAACAAAAAAAAAAACCUUUCCAUUUUUGAGACAGGGUCUCAUUUUGCAGCCCAGGCAAGCUGGAACUUGCUAUGAAACAGUAACUCUGUACUGUCUACAUGGUCUUAAGCUAAGAAGUCAAGCCAGCCUUAUAAUCUUGAUGUGGAUGCAGGUUAUAGGAGCAUCCCCAGAUACUGAAGGGGACUGAAAAGAUGGCUCAAGCGGUUAAGAGCACUGGCUGCUCUUCCAGAGGUCCUGGGUUCAAUUCUCAUCAGCCACAUGGCAGCUCACAACUGUCUGUAUGUAACUCCUGUUCCAGGGGAUCCAACACCCUUACACAGAUCUAUACAUGCAGUCAAAUCACCAGAUAUACAUAAAUAAAAAUGAAUAAAUUGUUUUUUU